CUAAAAGUUGUUCAGGCCACUUCUGGAGGCGCGACCAGGACCGGCCCGGAGGUAACCUACCCUCCUGGCGGCCUCUGCAGCCAGAAACCUGGUGCCACCCUCGGCGACUCCCCUGAACUGAGGCCCGGCUUCCUGGGCUUCUGGGGCUGCGGGGGCGCGGGCUGAAACCCGCCGCUGGGUGCCGUGGCACACAUCUGUAAUCCUAUCACUCAGGAGGCAGAUGCAGGAGGAUCACAAGUUUGAGACCAGACUUCGUCUGCAUAGCAAGUCGAAUGCCUGCCUGCCUGGACCACAUACCCAAACGGCCCUUGAAGAGGACCACAUGGAGAGGCCUGUGUCCUCCAUCCCAGCUGAAUGCUCGGCUUCAGUCAUCCCCAGAGUACAGCACUGUCUGCAGCCCCUGCGAAGGAGAAGCUGUCUGGUGCCAUUAGCGUCCCUGAAGAGCAGUGUUUUGCAUGUCUGCUCUACAUCACCGCCCUUCCUCCAAGACCCGACCCAGUGACUGAGGAUGCUGGCCUCACCGUGCCUUCCACCAUGGCCAUGCUGUGUGUGGACAAUCUGGGCUCCUCUUUCUCGGUCUCCCCCGGGGUCACUCGUGUGACUGUGGUACCCAGCUCUGGAGGGUCCGAGGUGGUGUCCUCACGUGUUCCACAGUCAGUGCUGGCUCUCUCUCUCUUCUGUGUCUUUCUUACAAAAGAAAAAGGAAUCAUAUGGUUUAUGGAAGAAAAUUUAGAAAUGCUGUCAAAACAAGGGAAAGAAAAUAGCACUCACCUAUAAUGCCAGCACCUCAGAAUAACCAUUGUUGGUAUUUAGACAUAUAUAUCUAUCCAGCCUUACUCUAAAAUAUUGGUAACAAUGUGUAGUCUACAAAAAUGCAUAUUAUUGA
rnacentral:lncRNA from 1 species